UACGUAGGGUGCAAGCGUUGUCCGGAAUUAUUGGGCGUAAAGAGCUCGUAGGCGGUUCGUCGCGUCGGCUGUGAAAACCCGGAGCUCAACUCCGGGCCUGCAGUCGAUACGGGCGGACUUGAGUGUUGCAGGGGAGACUGGAAUUCCUGGUGUAGCGGUGAAAUGCGCAGAUAUCAGGAGGAACACCAAUGGCGAAGGCAGCUCGCUGGGACGGUACUGACGCUGAGACGCGAAAGCGUGGGGAGCAAACAGG
rnacentral:rRNA from 1 species